rnacentral:ncRNA from 3 species
CUGAACUUAAGCAUAUCAAUAAGCGGAG